rnacentral:rRNA from 1 species
CCUACGGGAGGCAGCAGUGGGGGAUAUUGCACAAUGGGGGGAACCCUGAUGCAGCGACGCCGCGUGGGGGAAGAAGGGCCUAGGGGCGGAAAGCCCUGUCAGCAGGGAAGAAAAUGACGGUACCUGAAGAAGAAGCCACGGACACCUCCGGGACAGAAGCCGCGGUAACACGGAGGGGGCAAGCGUGAUCCGGAUUUACGGGGGUUAAAGGGGGCGUAGAGGGGGGGGAAAGACAGGGGUGAAAGCCCGGGGCCCAACCCCGGGACUGCUCUUGGAACUGCGUGGCUGGAGUGCAGGAGGGGCAGGCGGAAUUCCUGGUGUAGCGGUGAAAUGCGUAGAUAUCAGGCGGAACACC